UCUCGCCUUGUCAGGGGCUCCGUUCUGCAUGGUGUUGAGCCCCACUGUGAGGGGUGAGUGCUCUCUCUCUCUCCCCAGUGUCAGUGGCCAUGGAGAACACUCAUCAUCUUUUGGGAAUGUCCAACACGUUUCAGAAAAACCCCUUCCAGUAGUGGAUCUGGCAGAAAUGGCACCAGAGCAGACUAAUGUUUUGCAUUUGGACCAGACUGUGCUUUUGAAGGACACGAGGAAGUUCAUUAUGCUGGAUAUGAGCCUGCUCCUGCUUUGACUGAACUUUAAGAAACAAGAGUGAACACUGUGGCAGAGGCCUGGAUUUAAGAAAUGCCAAGGAAAAUGAAGAAACUGCUACAAAAAAACUUGUACUGUCACUGUUGUAAUAUGGCACUGAAGCUGCAAUCUGAGCCAAAGAAGACAAAAAUCCAUCAUUCCCACCUCCAGGUCAGCUGCUCAGCUCUUUUUUCCUGCCAAGAUGAUUGCUCUGCCUACCUCUGCCCAGAAGAGGAGCCAGUGAGAGGAGUCUGGUGUUAGGGACCUCUCACUGAGGACCAGCCGCCCUGAAUUUCAAGAGUGCUCAGGAAUGUGCUGGAUCAGACACUGGGGAGGUGCCUUUUUACAUAAUUACCACAAUUUUCCACUCAAAAACCGCCUCGGGCCCCCUGUGGCUGUGCUGCAGUCUCUUUUGCAAAGUUUUUGGUUAUUUAACAGAGGGAAAAUAUAUUGAAGAAGAAUGGGUGAGAGGCACUGGGGUGAGAAGGGGCUACAAGCGAGGUCCCCAUGUGGUUCCCAGCUGCAGCCCACCCAUCUGAGUGGGGGAUCUCAGGGAUGGGGCUGGGCACACACCUGGCACCGCCUGCCAAACCCACAGGUGGUGAUAUCAGCAAGUGGAAUUCACCGAGCAGCUCCGUGGCCUGGCAGCACACAGGGGGAUUUAUCACGGCAUUGCUUCAGGUAAUGCCACAGCAGUGACAUCAGGCACCCAAUGCAGCAAGGGUUGCU